ACGACGACGAAAAACAUCAACAACACGGACAUAGAACUGAGAGGAAGGAGGGAGUUUGUUUUGAUUUUGAACAUUCUUUCCUCGUGGACGAAGCCAAACACCAAGAGGGUGAAUAACCACAAAACAUGUCUAAAUUACUGUAUUUGAAUGCGUUUCUUUCUGAGCGUUUAACGGAUGUUUGGGGCAGUUUAGAAAGUGGUAGUUGAGUACCAGAUCUCCCGAUCUAAACAGGAGAAUGAUUGGCUACGAAGACUGCUAGUAUGGAUCACACCGGAGAUAAAACGAUGUACAUUAGGUUCGUUGCUAUACUCCCAGCAGCUCUCUCACCCCGUCUCUGAAGGGGAGGUUGGCCCUGAGCAGCAGCACUGUGGGUCCUCCAGUCUGAGGCAGGAGGAACCAGAGCCCACACAGAUUAAAGAGGCACAGGAGGAACUCAAGACCAGCCCUGAGGAAGUGCAACUUCAAGGGCAAGAGGCUAAUACGAAAUAGUUAAUUUCUUGCUGUUUGAAAAGUGAGUUGAGAUGAAGAGGACCCAUUUCAGUCCUUGUUUCUUCCCAAAACUCUGACUGUGGAGAACAGAGAGAGUGACUCAAAACUAGUGGAUCGAAAAUAUUUUGGCACUGUUACCCAGCUAAAGUGUUUCGACAUUCCCUCCAGAUAAUCAAAACAAUGCCUCCAGCUACAGCUCAGCCGUAAGCAGCAACUCAGUACGACUUUACAGCAGCGCACCAUUGGAUCCCGACCCACCAGUGGGAGAACACUGUUCAGAAUAUAGCACCACGUCUAAUAAAUCUCACUGCUGCUGUGACUGUGGCGGAGCAUUUGCUCUGAAAGCUGGCCUACAUAGACACGUCACUCUUGCAAGGGAGAGACCCAGCGAAUGCCCCAUCUGCAAAAACUGCUAUAAUUUCACCUGUCAACUGAAGGCCCAUGUCCAACUCUGUCAGCCUGCAAAAACCUGCCGUGCUACAGCUCUUCAGUACAACUAAGAAGAGAAUGUACAUCAACUACCUCCGAACACAGCAGUGCUGGCCAAAACUAAACGCCGGGCACUGGUUGGACCACAUCUAAUCAUGCCAAAGAUACCUGCACAGAGGCAGCUAUUCACCAAAGCACCAGCUGUCUGUAGCACCAGUGGUGGUCUGGUUGUUCAAGUCCCAUCUGUCUCUGGACAGUACUUCAUGCAAUUUGUUCCCCAGGUGACGUUACAGACAGCACCCACUGUUACUAUAACAGCUUCAUCCGUGACCAUACCCACCCACAAAAUGGGCCGUGCCUACAAAAGAAAGGUCAGUAGCAACACAUGCCAAAAAUGUGGGCAGUUGAGAACCAAGCAGACUGGGCACAGCCAAUGUAAAGGGGCGGCAGGUAGCCUAUUGGUUAGAGCAUUGGACUAGUAACUGAAAGGCUGCAAGAUCGAAUCCCCGAGCUGACAAGGUAAAAAUCUGUCGUGCUGCCCCUGAACAAGUCAGUUAACCCACUGUUCCUAGGCCGUCAUUGAAAAUAAGAAGUUCUUCUUAACUGACUUGCCUUGUUAAAUAAAGGUAAAAUAUAUAUAUAUAUAUUUUUAAAGGGACUGUUUACUGCCCACAAGCAGACUUUCUCCAAAGAGUGGCUGGAGACAAUGUGCAGGUAGCAGCAGUGAAUAACUCUAUUUAUGUAAUUUAUUUGUUUUCUCAUAACAUUAGCACAUAUGUUUAAACUUUUUUUUAAACCUUUUGUAUUGUCCGUGUCUCUUUUUAUUGUAGCCUAUUGCUGUGUUUUGGCAACUUGGCCAGGCAUUUUUUGCAAAUGAGAACUGGGUCCGGGAGAUAAAUCAUUAAGCUGUGGUGACUGCAGAUAAAGCUUCAAUCAGAAUGGGAACCUAACCCAACAUAUACGGACUCACACAAGAGAAAAACCAUUUAGCUGUGGUGACUGCUGAAAACGCUUCAAUCACAAGGGGCAUCUGACGAUACUGACUCACACAACAUUAGCCAAUGAACAAUUCCUGGUCGAAUGUUUUGGAAUGUCUCUCCGGGUGAUGAGAAAAUGGUCAGACUGAUGUUAUUGAUAACAUUAAAGAAUAUUAUAUACAUUGGGGAA